AAAUGUUCAAAAAACGUGUGGAUGUGGCACUUGGGGACAUGGGUUAGUGGUGACCAUGGUGCUGGUGCUGGGUUAACUGUUGGACUCUGACCCAAAAGGGCUUUUCCAACCUGACCAGUUCUGUGAUUCAGAGACGCUCAGAAAACAGACCCUCUCUUCUCGCUUAACACUUAAUUCAGUUUCUGAUUUAAGUCCUUCACCGAGAGAGGGACGUGCUGAGGAGCCUGUGCCGUGCUGGGUGUGCUGGUCAGGACGAGGAAUUUUGGGGGCACAGGGAGCAGCCGGGCAGGACAGGGGUUACUUCACCCCGUACCCCACGAUGUGCGGCUCGAUGGGCGUCCAGGGCAGUGCAAGACUUAUGUGUUGUACCUUCAGCUCCGAGAACUUGGCCUCUUCCAGACUCUUCCAGAGCUCUCUCGUGAGGCAGCAUCCAGCAAAGACGAGUUUCCAAGUCGGGAAGCAGACCUGCUGCCAAAAAUACUUCCAGCUGGAAUGCUCGGCGGCCACGUGCUCCAAGAAGUAGAAAGCUCCUCCCUGGGAACACAGAGUCUCUUACAGUGGAGCAGCCCCACUUCAGAGAGGCCGAAGCAGUUCAUUUAAAAUCCAGACUUUCAGCCCUGAUCAGAACUUCCCACCCAAGGAAAGUCGUGUGAGUGGGAAGGGACAGCACCACAUUCUGCUUUAAAUGAUGGACUGUGAAGCAAUUUCAGUUAGCAGUGUGUUGCUUUUAGGAUUUUACUCUUAAGACUAAACCAGUCUGACCAGUAUCACGUGCAGAAUGGCUGCAGGAACCAACCCGGGUCUGGUUUUUAAGCUCAAAACCAAUUCUUUAUACUAUUUUCCCCCCUUUCCUCGUGGCAAGGUGCCUCUGGAGCGGCUGAUAAAGGUUUAAUGCAGGUACUCACCGGCCGGAGCACCCGCAGCACUUCCCUCAGGGUGCCGCUCACGCUCUGAACCGAGCACAGCACCAGGGUACAGACCACGGCGUCCACGGAGCCGCUGGGCACCUGGUGCAGGUCCUCCCCUGCGGCCACCAGGAAACGCUCGUAGUGCAGGUGCUGGUUCUUCUUCAUGUUCUUGGCGAGGCUCUCCUGGAAGCUGGGGUUGAUGUCGGUGCAGGUGACCCUGCAGCCCGAGGGGUAGAACUGGAAGUUGGAGCCGGCGCCGGUGCCGAUCUCCAGCAGCCGCAGCUCCCCCGAGGGGCUCCGGAAGUCGGGGAGGUUCCGGAACAGCUCCAGUUUGUGCUUCUUUGAUUUCUUGUCGUGAACUGCGGCGAUCUUGUCUAAGAUGAAAGGGAAAAACACCUUCCUGCAGAAGGGCUCCCACACGCCCAGGAAGGAGAGCAGGUAGACGGGGAAGGCGAGCAGCACCAGGCAGGUGCGGAGGAGGAGGACGCUGGCACCGGCCUCUGCCAUUCCCAGCGUGGGCAGAGGAUCUGCACGGGGCAGAACAACUUCUGCUGUGUGUUAGAGCCCUGGGAGCUCAGACAGAGCUGCCUUCGGGUGCUCCCUGUGCUCCCGUCCGAGUACGUUCAGCUCCUUGGACUGUCCUGGUGGACUCUUUUCUCCAGCUGAUUUCCAAGUCCGGUCACGGGCAAGCGGUGACCAGAGUGUCCCGACUGGCAGGGGAGGAGCUGCCGGUUUGUUCCCAAACCGGGACAAACUGGGCAGCACAACUGUGUGUGUAACCCCUGGCAAAGUGUCUCCGAGUGCCCUCUCUUGGCGCUCGGCAGCUCCAGCACGGUCACGUCUCUUAAAGCCGCCUGUGCUGCCCUGGGGGAGCUGAAGGGAGCUCAGCCCGGCUCUGGAGCUCCGUAAGAAUUUCAUUAGGGGGUUGAUUAAAGUCUCAGUUCAAACA